GACGAACGCUGGCGGCGUGCUUAACACAUGCAAGUCGAACGGAAAGGCCCUGCUUUUGUGGGGUGCUCGAGUGGCGAACGGGUGAGUAACACGUGAGUAACCUGCCCUUGACUUUGGGAUAACUUCAGGAAACUGGGGCUAAUACCGGAUAGGAGCUCCUGCUGCAUGGUGGGGGUUGGAAAGUUUCGGCGGUUGGGGAUGGACUCGCGGCUUAUCAGCUUGUUGGUGGGGUAGUGGCUUACCAAGGCUUUGGCGGGUAGCCGGCCUGAGAGGGUGACCGGCCACACUGGGACUGAGAUACGGCCCAGACUCCUACGGGAGGCAGCAGUGGGGAAUAUUGCACAAUGGGCGGAAGCCUGAUGCAGCAACGCCGCGCGCGGGACGACGGCCUUCGGGUUGUAAGCCGCUUUCGCCUGUGACGAAGCGUGAGUGACGGUAAUGGGUAAAGAAGCACCGGCUAACUACGUGCCAGCAGCCGCGGUGAUACGUAGGGUGCGAGCGUUGUCCGGAUUUAUUGGGCGUAAAGGGCUCGUAGGUGGUUGAUCGCGUCGGAAGUGUAAUCUUGGGGCUUAACCCUGAGCGUGCUUUCGAUACGGGUUGACUUGAGGAAGGUAGGGGAGAAUGGAAUUCCUGGUGGAGCGGUGGAAUGCGCAGAUAUCAGGAGGAACACCAGUGGCGAAGGCGGUUCUCUGGGCCUUUCCUGACGCUGAGGAGCGAAAGCGUGGGGAGCGAACAGGCUUAGAUACCCUGGUAGUCCGCGCUGUAAACGGCGGGUACUAGGUGUGGGGUCCAUUCCACGGGUUCCGUGCCGUAGCUAACGCUUUAAGUACCCCGCCUGGGGAGUACGGCCGCAAGGCUAAAGCUCAAAGGAAUUGACGGGGCCCCGCACAAGCGGCGGAGCAUGCGGAUUAAUUCGAUGCAACGCGUAGAACCUUACCUGGGUUUGACAUGGAUCGGGAGCGCUCAGAGAUGGGUGUGCCUCUUUUGGGGUCGGUUCACAGGUGGUGCAUGGCUGUCGUCAGCUCGUGUCGUGAGAUGUUGGGUUAAGUCCCGCAACGAGCGCAACCCUUGUUCACUGUUGCCAGCACGUUAUGGUGGGGACUCAGUGGAGACCGCCGGGGUCAACUCGGAGGAAGGUGGGGAUGACGUCAAGUCAUCAUGCCCCUUAUGUCCAGGGCUUCACGCAUGCUACAAUGGCUGGUACAGAGAGUGGCGAGCCUGUGAGGGUGAGCGAAUCUCGGAAAGCCGGUCUCAGUUCGGAUUGGGGUCUGCAACUCGACCUCAUGAAGUCGGAGUCGCUAGUAAUCGCAGAUCAGCAACGCUGCGGUGAAUACGUUCCCGGG
rnacentral:rRNA from 1 species